CUCGCUGUCACCUUCGCGUCCUCAUGCCCGCAGACUGCGCGGGUCUUCAUCUUCAUCUUCAUCAGGAGAGUCGGGAGUAACGUCAUUACUAUUACACAGCCGAGGUCACGAGCGCUUCCUCCAUUUCCCAGAAUCCUUCACUUCACUGAAUGACAUCACUCACUGUGGCGCUCCGUGCUGUUCUUCAUCUGACCAGUGAUCUACUGUUGGGUUAGGCUUCUGACACACACACA